ensembl:lncRNA
CCUCCUCUUCGCUUUGCGUCUGUCUUUCUGGUUUGACCUGUCUCCCUUUGGCUCACUCUGUCUGUCAUCUCUCCCUCUUCUCUCUCUCUCUCCCUGUGUCUUGCUCUCCCUGCUUCACCUGCCUGCACUCAGCUGAUUACUGCAGGUGAUGCGUUGCAGUAAUCAGCUCACCUGCUCACUAUUUAAACCUCAUUCCUUCACUCACUCUCCGCUGGAUCAUAUACUCACAUCCUCACUUUUGGACUCCGGUUUUCUGCCCUGGAUUUCCCCCACAUGGACUCUGAUCUUCUCCCAGAUUCUCACCAGCCCUGCUUCUGUCUCCAGCCUGUUUUUCGUGUCUCGCCUCUGUCUGCCCCUGGAUUCCCUAAGCCCAUCUUCCCCCUCUGUUGUCAGUACCUUUAGACAGAAAAACAGUGAAUCAGAUAUUACCCUGUGUCACUCUGGGAGAUGUUUUAUUGUCCUGCAGCUUCCUGCUGUGUGAUUGGAGCUGAUCUCUGGUCUGUGGUUGGAGGUUUCCCCGGUUUACUGUCAUCUUGAUGUUUCUCAACAUGAAUGUGUGACAGAGUCCUCAGAUGGAUGAUGAAGGACUGAUGAAGGAGAAUCAGCAGCUUCUCUUGGAUGUGGAUCUGAACUCACCCGGUGUUUCUGUUAUGAAUCAGUAUGAGGACAGAGCAAAGGGAGUCCCUCCCUCUAAAGCCACUCUGUGGAAGGAGUAUGAGAACCAGACCAAAGCUCAGAGAACAAAGCAGCAGAACAGACCUCAACCUGAAUGUGAACCUGGGUGGGAAGUCAUCUGAGUUUCUGUGAAAAAUCUCAAGCAUAUUUAUAAACUUCCUGAGUUUAAAAAAUGAUCAAAGAAUGUUUUAUUUAUUAUUUUCUAUUGCAG